rnacentral:rRNA from 1 species
UACGUAGGGUGCAAGCGUUAAUCGGAAUUACUGGGCGUAAAGCGUGCGCAGGCGGUUUUAUAAGACAGAUGUGAAAUCCCCGGGCUCAACCUGGGAACUGCAUUUGUGACUGUAGAGCUGGAGUGCGGCAGAGGGGGAUGGAAUUCCGCGUGUAGCAGUGAAAUGCGUAGAUAUGCGGAGGAACACCGAUGGCGAAGGCAAUCCCCUGGGCCUGCACUGACGCUCAUGCACGAAAGCGUGGGGAGCAAACAGG